CAGCUCAGCUCAACUGAUACUGGUCUCUAAUCUGGGUUGUAAAUGUGUUACAAUCACUGAUGAGAUACAGUGGGGUUCAGUCAGUCCGCCCGGCCGCAGGGGGCGCUGUGCGGCUGCAGCAUCCCGCGAGAAUCAGGAGGAGAAGAGGAAGAACAUCCGGGCAUUGUUCCGUCGCAGGAGAAACGGCUGACAGGAGCGUUCUGCUACGCACCACAGAGAGCUCCUUUCUUUACUCUCGACAUGGCGGCACCUGAGGCCGGGCUGCAGGAGGCUCUGCUCUCGGAUGAAGAGCGGCGGCGGAACUCGAAGCAUCGCUCCAGAUCACGAUCGCCCGACCGGAAGCGGAAGUCAGGAGACAAGAGGCACAGACGCAGCCACAGCAGAAGCAAAGAGGCGCGGAAGAAGGCCUCUGAGAAAGCUCUGCGGUGUCGGAGCGGAUCAGAGGAGCAGCUGGAGACGUCAGAUAAAGACAUGGAGGAGCGGCGGCGUCGGAAAGACAAGAAGUCCUCCAGACCAAGAAGCCUGUCACGAUCACGCUCGAGGGAAAGGUAUUUCCCUUUGAUUCGUUUGAAUCAGUCUGUGUCAUAUUACUUAACUCUAUAAUAGGAUGUAACGAUUCACUCAACUCACGAUGCGAUACAACAUUUUUUUGAGAUUUAAGACAAAUUAUAAAUGAAAUGGUGUCCUUUUAUUAUUUCUCAGACAAAAUGCUGCACAUUUCUUUGAGACAUUGAAAUAUGUCAAAUAACAAAACUACACUGAACUUUAAAAACAACCCCUAAAUCAAAUAAAUAAAUACAAAUAAAUCUCUUCAAAUAAACAAACUAAGGCUUUGCCUGUGCUCUUUUUAUUUACAGUUAGAGGCAAGCACCGUAUUUUAAUCGUGAUCCAAACAAAGACGUUGCAUAAAUACAGCACAAGUAGUUUUUAAUCAAAAUUAGAUGAUCAUUUUGAAACUUGUAGCACUUAUUUGUAUCAAUUUUCAACCGGCUCUGGUGCAUCGUUACAUCCCCACUACAUAAAUAUAAACACAAACCCAUACAGGGAUAUUUGUCUUUCAUAACUUGAAUUACAGUGGCUUUCUAAUCAGCUUCGGCA
ensembl:lncRNA